rnacentral:lncRNA from 1 species
CUUGAAACAAGAUUGCUAAAAUCUUUCCUAGGGUCUUAGAAAAGGCUAUUAAAAUAAAGGGUUCAGAAGCUUCAUUAACUUAAAGAUAAAUCUACUCUUGCAAAAUUUUUUGGGAGGGGGAAAGCAAUAAUAUCAAAGGAUUUGCAGUAGACAAAUCCUUUGAUAUCUGAAACUGAAGCUCCAAUAUUUAGGACACGUGAUGCAAAGUGCUGGCUUAUCAGAAAAGUCCCUGAUGCUGGGAAAAUUGAGGGUAAGAGGAGAAGGGGUCAACAGAGGAUGAGAUGGUUGGAUGGCAUCACUCAUUCAACGGACAUGAAUGUGAACAAACUCCAGGAGAUAGUGAAGGACAGGGAAGCCUGGCGUGCUGCAGUCCAUGGGGUCACAGGAGUUGGACACGACUGAGCGACUGAACAACAACAAAAAUUUAUAACAACUAUCAGAGCCCAGGCCUGAUCACUGGAGAUUUUGCAGAUCGAUGCUUCUAUGCCCUAGGAGCUCAAGAUGGAGAGCUUUUCUGGAUUUUCUUCUCCUUUUCACAUCGCCUCUCUGGAAGAGUCAUUACCAACAGUAACACCAAGAGGCUCUGGCCUGUCACCUCAUUUGUCCUUACCCUGCAGUGACAUAGGACAACUCCCCUCAAAGGCAAGAAGACAGUUGGAGCUAGAACCACAGCAACGAGAGAUAAGCAACCUAAAUGUCCAUCAACAGAUGGAGGGAUAAAGAAGAUUUGGUGCAUAUACACAAUGAAAUAUUACUCAACCAUAAAACAGGAACAAAACUGGGUCAUUUGUGAAGAUGUGGAUGGACCUAGAGUCUGUCAUACAGACUGAAGUAAGUCAGAGAAAAACAAACAUCAUAUAUUUAUGCAUAUAUGUGGAAUCUAGAAAAAUGGUAUAGAUGAAACUAUCUGCAGGACAGGAACAGACACUCAGAUGUCGAGAACAGAUGUGUGAACAUGGGGAGUGGGUUGCGGGGGAGGAGAGGGACACACACACACUACCUUGUAUAAAACAGAUGGCUAGCGGGAGCCUGCAGGUCAGCACAGGAAGCUCAGCCCGGUGCUCCGUGGUGCCCUGGAGGGCUGGGGUGGAGAGGAGCAGGGUUUAAGAGGAACAGGGAGUAUGUAUACACCGAGCCGAUUCACUUUGUUGUGCG